UACGUAGGAUGCAAGCGUUGUCCGGAAUUAUUGGCGUAAAGAGCGCGCAGGCGGUUUGAGAAGUCAGAUGUGAAAGAGGCCGGCUUAACCGGCAAGGGUCAUUUGAAACUGACAGACUAGAGUACAGCCAGAGGAUAGCGGAAUUCCCGGUGUAGUGGUGAAAUGCGUAGAUAUCGGGAGGAACACCAGUGGCGAAGGCGGCUAUCUGGGCUGAAACUGACGCUGAGGCGCGAAGGCUAGGGUAGCAAACAGG
rnacentral:rRNA from 1 species